UGGUAGCCCCUGCUGAUUAUGCCACUGCAAG
rnacentral:piRNA from 1 species